GUAGAUAUAGUUUAACUAAAACAUUAGAUUGUGAAUCUAACCACAGAGACUUACCACCUCUUAUUUACC
rfam:Macaca mulatta mitochondrion, complete genome.